rnacentral:rRNA from 1 species
GGUAGGGGAGCGUUCUGUAAGCCUGUGAAGGUGGCCUGUGAGGGUUGCUGGAGGUAUCAGAAGUGCGAAUGCUGACAUAAGUAACGAUAAAGCGGGUGAAAAGCCCGCUCGCCGGAAGACCAAGGGUUCCUGUCCAACGUUAAUCGGGGCAGGGUGAGUCGACCCCUAAGGCGAGGCCGAAAGGCGUAGUCGAUGGGAAACGGGUUAAUAUUCCCGUACUUGGUGUUACUGCGAAGGGGGGACGGAGAAGGCUAUGUUGGCCGGGCGACGGUUGUCCCGGUUUAAGCGUGUAGGUGUGUGUUCCAGGUAAAUCCGGUUCACUUUAACACUGAGGCGUGACGACGAGGCACUACGGUGCUGAAGCAACAAAUGCCCUGCUUCCAGGAAAAGCCUCUAAGCAUCAGGUAACAUCAAAUCGUACCCCAAACCGACACAGGUGGUCAGGUAGAGAAUACCAAGGCGCUUGAGAGAACUCGGGUGAAGGAACUAGGCAAAAUGGUGCCGUAACUUCGGGAGAAGGCACGCUGACACGUAGGUGAAGUGAUUUACUCAUGGAGCUGAAGUCAGUCGAAGAUACCAGCUGGCUGCAACUGUUUAUUAAAAACACAGCACUGUGCAAACACGAAAGUGGACGUAUACGGUGUGACGCCUGCCCGGUGCCGGAAGGUUAAUUGAUGGGGUCAGCGCAAGCGAAGCUCCUGAUCGAAGCCCCGGUAAACGGCGGCCGUAACUAUAACGGUCCUAAGGUAGCGAAAUUCCUUGUCGGGUAAGUUCCGACCUGCACGAAUGGCGUAAUGAUGGCCAGGCUGUCUCCACCCGAGACUCAGUGAAAUUGAACUCGCUGUGAAGAUGCAGUGUACCCGCGGCAAGACGGAAAGACCCCGUGAACCUUUACUAUAGCUUGACACUGAACAUUGAGCCUUGAUGUGUAGGAUAGGUGGGAGGCUUUGAAGUGUGGACGCCAGUCUGCAUGGAGCCGACCUUGAAAUACCACCCUUUAAUGUUUGAUGUUCUAACGUGGACCCGUGAUCCGGGUUGCGGACAGUGUCUGGUGGGUAGUUUGACUGGGGCGGUCUCCUCCUAAAGAGUAACGGAGGAGCACGAAGGUUGGCUAAUCCUGGUCGGACAUCAGGAGGUUAGUGCAAUGGCAUAAGCCAGCUUGACUGCGAGCGUGACGGCGCGAGCAGGUGCGAAAGCAGGUCAUAGUGAUCCGGUGGUUCUGAAUGGAAGGGCCAUCGCUCAACGGAUAAAAGGUACUCCGGGGAUAACAGGCUGAUACCGCCCAAGAGUUCAUAUCGACGGCGGUGUUUGGCACCUCGAUGUCGGCUCAUCACAUCCUGGGGCUGAAGUAGGUCCCAAGGGUAUGGCUGUUCGCCAUUUAAAGUGGUACGCGAGCUGGGUUUAGAACGUCGUGAGACAGUUCGGUCCCUAUCUGCCGUGGGCGCUGGAGAACUGAGGGGGGCUGCUCCUAGUACGAGAGGACCGGAGUGGACGCAUCACUGGUGUUCGGGUUGUCAUGCCAAUGGCACUGCCCGGUAGCUAAAUGCGGAAGAGAUAAGUGCUGAAAGCAUCUAAGCACGAAACUUGCCCCGA